GGGGCUAUACAUGCAAGUCGAACGCACUCUCGUUUAGAUUGAAGGAGCUUGCUCCUGAUUGAUAAACAUUUGAGUGAGUGGCGGACGGGUGAGUAACACGUGGGUAACCUGCCCUAAAGUGGGGGAUAACAUUUGGAAACAGAUGCUAAUACCGCAUAAAACCUAACACCGCAUGGUGUAGGGUUGAAAGAUGGUUUCGGCUAUCACUUUAGGAUGGACCCGCGGUGCAUUAGUUAGUUGGUGAGGUAAAGGCUCACCAAGACCGUGAUGCAUAGCCGACCUGAGAGGGUAAUCGGCCACACUGGGACUGAGACACGGCCCAGACUCCUACGGGAGGCAGCAGUAGGGAAUCUUCCACAAUGGACGAAAGUCUGAUGGAGCAACGCCGCGUGAGUGAAGAAGGUUUUCGGAUCGUAAAACUCUGUUGUUGGAGAAGAAUGUAUCUGAUAGUAACUGAUCAGGUAGUGACGGUAUCCAACCAGAAAGCCACGGCUAACUACGUGCCAGCAGCCGCGGUAAUACGUAGGUGGCAAGCGUUGUCCGGAUUUAUUGGGCGUAAAGCGAGCGCAGGCGGUUUCUUAAGUCUGAUGUGAAAGCCUUCGGCUCAACCGAAGAAGUGCAUCGGAAACUGGGAAACUUGAGUGCAGAAGAGGACAGUGGAACUCCAUGUGUAGCGGUGAAAUGCGUAGAUAUAUGGAAGAACACCAGUGGCGAAGGCGGCUGUCUGGUCUGUAACUGACGCUGAGGCUCGAAAGCAUGGGUAGCAAACAGGAUUAGAUACCCUGGUAGUCCAUGCCGUAAACGAUGAGUGCUAGGUGUUGGAGGGUUUCCGCCCUUCAGUGCCGCAGCUAACGCAUUAAGCACUCCGCCUGGGGAGUACGACCGCAAGGUUGAAACUCAAAGGAAUUGACGGGGGCCCGCACAAGCGGUGGAGCAUGUGGUUUAAUUCGAAGCAACGCGAAGAACCUUACCAGGUCUUGACAUCCUUUGACCACUCUAGAAAUAGAGUUUCCCUUCGGGGACAAAGUGACAGGUGGUGCAUGGUUGUCGUCACCUCCGGUCCGGAAAUGUUGGGUUAAGUCCCGCACCGGGCG
rnacentral:rRNA from 1 species